rnacentral:rRNA from 1 species
AUACGGAGGGUGCGAGCGUUAAUCGGAAUUACUGGGCGUAAAGCGCACGUAGGCGGCUUUGUAAGUCAGAGGUGAAAGCCUGGAGCUCAACUCCAGAACUGCCUUUGAGACUGCAUCGCUUGAAUCCAGGAGAGGUCAGUGGAAUUCCGAGUGUAGAGGUGAAAUUCGUAGAUAUUCGGAAGAACACCAGUGGCGAAGGCGGCUGACUGGACUGGUAUUGACGCUGAGGUGCGAAAGCGUGGGGAGCAAACAGGAUUAGAAACCCCAGUAGUCC